rnacentral:lncRNA from 1 species
ACCGUCUAUGAAGUUUUUAAAAUUCCACAAACAAAUUGAAGAUACUACAUGUGUCUUGUAAGGUGUAGUGGGCCAAAUUUGCCCGGCCCGAAUAAAAACAAUAAAUGAUAUAAAAAUCUAGAUAUCAAUAGUCCAUUAUUUACAACCCAAAAUCAAACCAAAUUAACCCCAAUGUUUCAAGACCCAAAUUACAAAUCCAUUUACAAAAUGACAUAGCCCAAUACCCCAAACGGCCCAGAAACUGAGCCCCAUUUUGGCAAACCCUAGGGCAAGGGUCUCCUUGUGCCGCAGCCCUCACUAGCAGCCAAACCACAUUGCGCCAGACAACGCCUCCAACAGCACCAGCGCACAGCCCUCGUACGCCACGCCCGUACCUCCGUACGAUGCCAGCAGACUCCGUACCUGCGAAAAAGACACACAGAACAGCAGCGAAUAGGGAAGAAGAAAAUAGCAUUUUCAUUUUUUGAUUUUUCUUUCUUUUCGGCUAUAAAGGCCAUGUAAUAGCCUAGGUGAGUUUUUUACGCAACAUAAACGCACAAUAGGCCAUACAGACACAAUCAAUACAUUUUGAAAUACAAAAAAGCAACGAGCAUUCGAAGGUGAUUCCGAUUCAUAAUUUCUGAGAUUUUUUCCUUUUCUUCUUGGCUUAGUUUCAUUCUCCCUGGAAUUUCUUUUUGUUCUUUCGCAUUUUGGGUUGUAUAAAAGAGAGAGGAAAUGAAAUCUUACCCCGUGAAUACGCCGUGAGAUAUCCUCUGAUUCGUUGAAAUCGGGGUCCGAGAGGAGUAUAAGGCGGAAAGAAAACCAUCUUGAGGCUCGAACAGGCCGAUCUCCAUUCAUUGCGGUGGAUUGGCAUGGCAGAUGGAGGGUCAAGGUUCGUUUGAGGGGAGUAAAAAUGGAGGCUAGGGUUUGGAGGUGCUGGCUUAAUCUGCUGAUUGAGCCAUUUUAUAGGACCUCAAACUGUGUCGCAUUGACAUCAAAGCCCGACCCGAUUCGAUUCCAAACCCGAUGACCCGCGUGUUUUUGCGGUGAGGGACUAUUUGCACAUUAAAUCCCUCCCUUUUGCGCCACGUUUAAAUCAAUCCAUAUUUUUAUUCCAUUUCUUUUAAUUUAGGCUUGUAUUUUGAGCUCAUUUGCAAUGGGGUCCGCACAUGUACACAGCGUUUUGGGAGUCUGGAAUAAUUUCAGUUUUGAUCCUUGCAUAUUCGUAUACAUUAUGCGCUGGCCCUUAUCUGUAUUUACAAAUUAUCCUUCCAUUUUAACGUGGUUUCAAUUAGACCCUCUCUUUUAUGUGAUUUCAAUUAUUUUUUUUAGAUUCACCUCAUGUUUUAUUUUAUUUUACUUGUGUUCAUUUACUCGUGUUCAUCGUCUAACUUGCAUCAUUUACUUAUUGUAAUUUGGGUAACUAUGCUUUCAUAUUUUGCGUAUUACCUCAUGUAAUUGUUUUCUUUAUAUACGCUAUUGUACAUAUAUAUUUGUACUUUACAUUAAAGUCAAUUUCAUUUCAUAUAUAUAUACAUUGUUAACCUUAUGUUAUUUUAUACAUGUGUUGUCUUAAAUUUAUUAUUGUAGUUUAUUACAUGGUCCUAUAUAAUAUAUUUUCUCAAUUAUUAUUAUAUACAUAUAUGUUUAUAGAUAUCUAUACUUGAUAUCUAUAUAUAUAUUAUUAAAUCUAUGUAUUUUAUGCAUGUAGUUUUUCUCUUUUUUCAUAUAUGUAAGUAUAUUCUUCAAUUCAUUAUAUAAUUUAUAAUAAAAUCAGUUUUAGCUUGCAUAUAUUUCUAUGUUUUUUACAAAUAAUUAUUUUUUAAAAAAAGGGGGGUUAUUUAUAUAUAUAUAAUUUGUAGAUCCAUUGCAUUUUUGAAGAUUAUAUCGUACUAUAUAUUUUUAUUAUUACCGUUUUUAAUAUAUUUUACACAUACUUUAAAUUAUUAUUCUAUACAUCCUCGUUUUUUUUUUAAAAAUCAAUAUUAUUCUACGUUUUGGUAUGAUUUUCGAUUUAAACAUUCAUUUUAUAAUAUUUUUUAAAAUGAUUAAGCGUAUAUCCCUAGUUUUUCCUUUUUUACAAAUAAAUUUUAAAUGCACCAAUUCAUUAAUUUGCAUGUCAUAAAGAUUUUUGGUUCAUUAGAUCGCAUUUGUUCCGACAUCGUCUUAUACCACUUUGACUUCUAAAUUCUAUUUUGUUUUGCAUACGCUCUUUUGGUUGCUUUAUAUAUGUACAUUCCUUGCGUGGCAUCCACCUUAUUGAACUGUUAAUUACUCAUCAUAUAUGAUUGAAAUUAGGCUAUAAUUCCUAGAUUAAUUAUAUUUAAUUGCUUGUUCUGCUAGUUGAUUCAUUAAGUAUUGUAUCUCGUAUGUGUAUAUUACCUCAUUCAUCGUUUUCCAUUUGAUUUUCGAAAUGCGGUUUUAUAAAAUCCAAAUUUUAUGAUUAAUCUCGUACUAUUUCAAAUUGAAUUAAUACGUCUUAAGCUAGCUCUAUAAUCAUUCAUUCAAAAAUUCUUUAAAAACGAAGGCAAGAUUCGAUGUUUGGCAAUUCGUGGAAUCGUGCCCUAACGUGUUGGGUUGCGAUUUCGCGUUUGCUCAAAAUAAUCGAAUAUCACUUCGAAAUUUCACUCACGCCUUUUAAAAUUCCUCAAAACGAAGACGAGGUUUGAUAUUUAGCAAUUCGCAGAAUCGUGCCCUAACGUGUUGGGUUGCAAUUUUGCGUUUGUUCAAAAUAAUCGGGCUUCCCUUCAAAAUUCCAUUCAUAUCUCCUAAAAUUUUUUAAAUGAAGGCAAUGUUCGACGUUUGAUAAUUUGAGAAUCAUGCUCUAUCGCGUUGGGUUGUGGUUCCUGGUUUGCUCAAAAUGAUCGAACAUUCCUUUACAUUCUCACUCAUGUUUAUAAAAAAAAUACUUAAAAACGAAAACGAUGUUCAAUGUUUGGCGAUUUGAGAAUCGUGCCCUAUCGUGCUGGGUUGCGCUUUUUCAUUGGUCUGAAACAAUUGAAGAUCCCUUCAGAAUUUCCCUCGCACUUUCUAAAAUCUUUUAAAAUAAAGGCGAUGUUCGAUGUUUGGCGAUUUGAGAAUCGAGCCCUAUCAUGCUGGGUUGCGCUUUCUCAUUUGCCCAAAAUAAUCGAAUAUCUCCUCGAAAUUUUCACACGUAUUUUAUAAAGUAAGGCAAUGGUCAAUAUUUAGAAAUUCGAAGAAUCGUACCCUACUGUGCUGGGUUUCGAUUUUUCGUUGGACUAAAUAGUUGAGCAUCAUUCUGUAAUUCUCAAAUUAUAUACCUUCGGGCAUCGAAACAAGAAAUUUUGGCAACCAAGUCGGAUCACUCAAACGUUAUAAAAGGAACCACAUUUCAAAAAACUUUUAAUUUUAGACAUAAGGACAGUAUUUAAUUGACUUGGUACCAAUUUUGGGCGUAGUGAGGGUGCUAAUCCUUCCUCAUGCGUAACCGACUCCCGAACCUGUUUUCUCAAAAGUUCGUAGACCAAAAUUAUUGUUUUAAUAAACCAAAAAUGUUUAUUUAAACUAACCUCAUUUUUAGGUGAUUCGAUCACACCAAAAUAAAAGAUCGGUGGCGACUCCAUAUUUUCAUUUUCCAAAAAGUCGAUUCCACCAUUUUUCAUUAAAAUAAUUUUUUUUUAAAAUCGUGGGAUGGUUUCGACAGCUUGGCGACUCCGGUGGGGAUUUGAACUUGAGAGUCGAGCCAUAAAAAUCGAUUAUUUACUGUCCUUUUGUUAAAAAACCGAAAAUUUAUUUUAAAAAUCAUGUAUAUUUCGAUUGCAUUUGAUUGUAUGUUUGUGCGGGCCUUGUAGAAUAGCACUGCAUUUCAUUGCAUGACCACUGUGGUUACACCUUCUAAGUGGAAGUAAGAAGCUACGCUUUCGUGAGGUUUUCACCUCCGCAUGGGCUAGUGGAUUGCUUCCGGGGUACAUCCGUACCUAUGAUUUCGUGAGAUUUUCAUCUCUGCAUGGUCAUAGGGAAAUGUAUCCCCUCGAACCGAACUCGAUCUAUAUGAGCUUAUAAUGGGUGAGGAUUGAGGAAUCUGCUGGUUCGGGUACCCAUUUUCCUAGAACUAAACCACAUAUAGUGAACCUUAGGAGCUAUCCUUGGGUGGAGCCGCGUCGAACCUUAGUACUUACCCGUACAUGCGUUAUAAUCACCGUUUAUGUGCUUGCAUUCUAUUGCUAUUAUUUGAUACUAACCGAUGUUUUGUUUUGAUUGUCUUUUUUGCAUGACAUUGCAUAUUAAAGGAGGCGUUAAUCUACAUUCAAUUACUAAGUUAGAAAAUUUGACAUGGAGAAUGAAUUUUUUAGUAAAGUCGAGGAUAAUGCGGCCGUUCGUGCUUGGUCGGAGAGGCUACAAUCUGAGAGAGGGGAUAGCUUGGCAGAAGGGUAUGUGUCGGAGCUGUAGGAUUUCACUCGCGUCAAUGUAGUACAGAAUAAGCUGCAAUAGUUGAGAGACAUUUGGGUUAGUUGGGAUGAAAGGAUCAAGCAGUUGUUUUACCAAAGUUAUGGUGACAUAUCCUACCUGCUAGACAUUAAAGUGGAUAAGCAUUUGUUCCGAGCCUUGGUGCAGUUUUGGAAUUCCGCAUAUAAGUGUUUUACCUUUGGAGAAGUGGAUUUGGUACCUACCAUGGAGGAAUAUACUACGCUGCUUAGAUGUCCAAAGAUUCAGGUCUGGAAGACUUAUGCCCGGGUUUUUAGUAAUCAGGCUUUCGUGAAGAAACUGAUGAGCAUUUCUGGGAUGAGCGAGUCUUGGGUCACUGCUCGGAUUCAGCAGAAAGGAGAUAGCAAAUGUGUCCCUUGGGAGAAUUUGCGAGAUUUGAUCUUGACUCAUCUAGACGAAAGAAAGAGGGUCGAUAUAUUUGCCUUAAGCAUCUACGGAUUAGUGAUCUUUCCUACGGCUUUGAGGCACGUGGACGAGGCGGUCAUUGACUUGUUUGAUCGUCUUGAAAAGGGAAUCACACCGGUACCGGCAAUAUUGGCAGAAACGUUCAGAUCUUUGAGCUUAUGUCAGAAGACGGGUGAGGGGCGAUUUAUUGGAUGUGCUCAACUAUUGAUGGUAUGGUUUCAUGGGAACUUUUGGAAGGUAGACAAGGUUUCCUAUCGAGUCUUUUCCAAAGGUUAUUCCCCUUUGAAAGAAGAGGUAGCUAUACAGAGGAGAAAGGAUAUCUCAGAAGAGAAGUGGAUGGAUAUUUUUCAGAACCUUAAGGAGGAGGAUAUCGAGUGGAGUGCUUAUUGGAUGGUUCCUGAUGAGAUCAUGUACCAAUGUGGUAACUUUGAUUGGGUGCCAUUGUUAGGAAUUUGGGGAGCUACCGGGUAUACUCCGUUGAUAGCCUUGAGGCAAUACAAGUCGAGGCAGUUUGUACCCACGACCUAUGGACUUGCUCAGAGUGAAUUCUCGUUUAAAGGUGCUCACUAUUAAAAGAGAGUUCGGGAGUUAUCGGAUGCUUGGAAGCAAACUUGUUAGAUGAAGAGGUUAGCCGUCGGUUCUAUGGUAACGCCCGAGUACAGCAAGUGGUUUAAGAAGAGGAUUAAUGAUAAUAUUCCUAGGCCAAGCUUAGAGAAUGCUCGGCCUAUCGGGGAACAAUUACAAGUCGCCCCAUCAGAAUUGGAGAUUAUAAAACAAGAUUUCGAGAAGAAGAGUUUGGAGUUUGGUAAGAAGAUCGAACAAUUAGAGGAAGAGAAGAUGCACCUAAGAUUAGAGGCUGAUGUCCAAAGGUCAGAGGCUGAGAAGUGGAGAAAAGGAAAAACUAAGGCUGAAGAAGAUCUAGACAGUUUGAAAAUGGACUACAAAAAGUUACGCCUAUCUAUGAGGAUUGCGGGUUUAGGUAAGACUUCCGAACAAUGGCGCCAUGAAAUUCGGGAAGAAAAAACCAAUACCGACCGGUGGGAAAGGAAAUUUCGAGAAACUCAAGCACGAAACGAAGAUUUGGAGAAAAGUCUAUCAGAAAGCAGAAAUGAGCAAGGGGAAUUAAGGGCUAGAGUGGCAGAACUCGAGAAGUCCCUACAUCAGUACCGAAACCGCAACACCGUGACAGAAUUGAGGGCAAGCUUGAGCAAAAUACAAGAAAUGAAAGGAAGAAUAGAAGAGUUAGAGGCGUCACUGCAAAAUUGUGAUAUGCGAAUCCAGUUUUUUGAGGCAAACGAGGAUCGUUGGAAGGAGCAACUUCACCAUGCGCAAGGCCAAGUUAGAAAUAGGGAUUACCUUAUGGGAGAGGCCAUAACCCAGAUCCGGGAGGUAGCGGACUACUUGCAAACUCUAGCGGUUCAGGCAGACACACUAAGCGUGAAAUAUGAGUUAGAGUCGGAGCGCGAACAAGAGCUGGCCUCAUUGCUUAGAAAAAUUAGGACUUUGAGCGUUAGAGCAAAAUUAUAUUUGUAACUCGACUUUAUGUAAAAGAUUUUAUUUUCAAGUAAAAUUUUCUAAGGGCUGUUGAAUCAAAAUUGAUGCCUCCUUUACAUUCAUGCAUUUGCAUUACAUCAUAUCAUUAUGCAUUAAAGGCCAUUAGAGUUUUCUAAUUAAUUAACUAAAAAUUAUUUCAAUAACCUGGAAACCAAUGAAAACCAACCACGCACCCCUACAGUACAAGGAAAAAAUCAAUGGAUAAGAGACUCGAGAAAUUAGAGCGGAUGCAAAAAGACAUGCAAGAACAAAUACAGUCUCAGAUGCAAGAGCAGCUAGCCAAGAUUCAGUGAGAGAUGAAAGAGCAAAUGAUGGAGUCCCAGAGGGAAAUGAUGAGUCAGUUAUCCCAAUUGUUGUUGGGAGGAACGGAUAAGGGAAAGGGCCCCAUGGACAAAGUUGAAGAAGCUAAUGAGGAUCCUCAAUACCCCCUGGCUUCACUCUGACACAUGUACCGGUGAAGCUCGAGAUUAAUCUACCGAAGCCAUCUGUCACGAUCAUACCCCAGCAGGUUCAGGCUGGAGCUUCAAUACUGAUGAAUUUCCAAACCGGCUUAGGCUCCAACUUUGUCAACAACCCGAACUAUCCGCCCAUUCCCGAUUUGGAUGAAAUUGCUGAAGAAGAAAAGGCGAGGAUGGAUUCGCAAAAACAAUUGGAAAAACGGUGUAGAUGGCUCGAAGAGAAAUUUAAAGCCAUGGAAAGCGCGGAUCAUCAUCAAGGGAUUAAUGCCAAGGACCUAAGUUUAGUCCCAGAUUUAGUCCUUCCCCCCAAAUUCAAAAUGCCCAAGUUCGAGAAAUACAAUGGAACAAGUUGCCCUGAAGCUCAUAUCAUUAUGUUCUGCAGGCGAAUGACGGGAUAUGUUAACAAUGACCAGCUAUUAAUCCACUACUUUCAAGAUAGUUUGGUCGGGGCGGCGUCUAAGUAGUACAACCAAUUAAGCCGCUCUAAGAUUAACUUGUGGAAGGACCUGGCCCAAGCCUUUAUGAAGCAAUACAAUCACGUGACAGACAUGACCCCUGACAGAAUCACUCUCCAGAAUAUGGAGAAGAAAUCGAAUGAAAGCUUCAGGCAGUACGUAUAAAGAUGGAGGGAGGUGGCCAUACAAGUUCAGCCGCCACUUCUAGAAAAGGAGAUAACGAUACUCUUUAUAAAUACCUUGAAGGCCCCUUUUAUCACUCAUAUGUUGGGAAGCGCCACCAAGAGCUUCUCCGACAUAGUGAUGAUGGGAGAAAUGAUCGAAAAUGCUGUAAAGAGCGGCAAGAUAGAAUCGAGAGAGAGUGCUAGGAAGUUAGCCCCGAGGAGAAAAGACAAUGAAGUGAACAACACGAGCACAUUCAACAAGGGGCAGCCCAAGUCAAUUACCGUAAAUCAACCCAAAAUGGUGACUACCAAUCAACAAAGUUCUGUAAGGCAAGAAUCCAAUGCGAGGAAGAACAUAGAAAGGCCACAAUACACCCCUAUACCCAUGUCCUAUAGAGAGUUGUACCAGAACCUGUUCAACGCUCAUGUGGUAUCCCCUUUCUACCUGGAGCCACUGCAGUCCCCGUAUUCCAAAUAGUAUGACGCGAAUGCCCAAUGUGAGUACCACGCGGGAAUCACCGGGCACUCAAUCGAAAAUUGCACUGCGUUUAAGAAAGUGGUCGAAAGACUCAUUAAGGUGGGAAUCAUGAGAUUUGAUGACCCAGCCACGCCCAAUUUAGCAGGAAACCCACUCCCUAAUCAUACCGACCAAGGAGUGAAUGGGAUAAGUGAAGGCUUGAACAAGAAGACCAAGUAUGAGGUGGCAGAAAUCAGGACCUCGUUGAAGCGGGUAUGGAAAGAGAUGACUAAGAGAGGAUUGAUAGCAUUGGAUCCAAGGGAAGAACCCGAAGAAGAGAGAAACUACUGUGAGUUUCAUGACGAGGUGGGGCAUGAAAUCCAAGAAUGUGUGGAAUUCAUGGCCCUCGUGCAGAACAUGAUAGAUAACAAAGAAAUGGAAUUCUAUGAAGAAGCUAAAAGCCUCAUAGAGGGAAAUGUAUGCGCAUCCGAGGGAGAAUCAAAGGCGUAGAAUCAAAUGCCUAAUUAUCCCGUGGUGAUCAUUUCGAGACCCAAAAAUAAUGAAGCUGGAGUAAAAAUGCCAUCGAGGGUCAUAAUCCAAAGACCUGCAGUCUUCCCUUACAAAAACAGUAAAAAGGUCCCAUGAAAUUAUGAUUGCAGUGUGACGAUGCCGGGAAAAGAGAGCCCGGUUAGCGCUUCAAUAAGGGAUCAAGAUAGAGGUUCCUAUACACAUAGCGGGAGGCGUUACGAUACAAUGAAUGAGGAGGAACAGCCCACAAAAGAAAAAGCCCAGGUGGUCAAGGAAAUGAAGGAAAAAGCAACCAAACUUGUUAAUGAGCCAGUUAACGAAGACGAGGCCAAGGAAUUUUUAAAAUUCCUAAAGCACAGCGAAUACAGUGUGGUAGAACAGCUACGUAAACAACCAGCUCGCAUUUCAGUGCUGGCCUUGCUUCUAAGCUCGGAAGUUCAUCGUAGCGCACUAAUGAAGGUCUUAAACGAGACAUAUGUUGCCAAUGAUAUCUCCGUUAACAAGCUGGACCGGUUGGUGAGCAACAUAAGUGCCGACAAUUUUAUCUUCUUUAAUGACGACGAGAUACCACCUGGGGGCAUGGGGUCGACUAAAGCUCUGCAUAUCACCACACGCUGUAAAGGGUACACGCUACUAGGUGUACUGAUUGACAAUGGAUCAGCUUUGAACGUCCUGCCAUUGACCACGCUGAACAGAUUACCUAUAGACAGCUCUCACAUGAAGGAGUGCCAGAACAUCGUGAAGGCAUUCGAUGGCACGGAAAGAAAGGUGAUGGGCAGAAUCGAGGUACCUCUCUAGAUUAGGCCAAACACAUAUGAGGUGGAUUUUCUCGUGAUGGAUAUCAAGCCCUCAUACAAUUGCUUGUUGGGGAGGCUCUGGAUACAUUUAGCUGGGGCAGUACCUUCCCCGUUGCAUCAAAAAUUGAAGCUGGUGUCGGAGGGGAGGUUGAUAACGAUUAAGGCUGAAGAAGAUAUUAUUGCAACUGUGAGCAAUAAUGCACCCUAUUUGGAGACAUAUGACGAAGCAAUCGAAUGCUCAUUUCGAUCUUUGGAAUUUGUUAACGCGACGUUCAUCACCGAGGGAAGCAAAAUUUUGGUGCCGAAAUUGUCCAAAACCACGAGGAUGAGCCUCGAGUUGACGAUUGGAAAAGGGGCCCUACCCGGAAAGGGACUUGGGAGACAUCUACAAGGAAGGAUCGAAACGCCAAUGCUGAAAGAAAAGAGAGACCGCUUCGGCUUAGGAUUUAAGCCGGAUGUGAAACAAAGGAGAAGGGAGCCAGAAAAGAAGCAAGAAAGAAGGAGAGCUCGAUUAAUGGGGGAGCAAAUCAAGUGGGAACCAAUGACAUUCCCCCAUAUAUUGAAAACAUUUGUAUCCAGGGGAAUCAUUCAUCCUGAGAGAGACACGCCAAUGAUGGGAGCUAUAAAAGAAAGUCUGGAAAGUUUGGACAUCAACGUCAUGUACGAAAAGGAGACUGGAAGGGAAAAUUUGUCGGGCAUUUGCCCCUACACGCCUGGAAGUGUUCUGGACAACUAGAUUGCGGAAGAGAUCCUUGUAGUUUUUAGAACGGAUUCAGAGUAAUGUCCAAAACACACUUAUUGCUCUAGGCCUAGGAGUGAUAAGAAUCUUUUGUGAAAUAGGCUGAUGUUUAAAAACGAUAUUUCAAUAAAAUGCACAGUUAUUAUCAUUUUUGAGCAAAUGUUCUCUCGUCCUCUUAAUUUCAUUCAUAACCAUACAAAUGAUUACUUUCGGAUUCUUUUAUUCUUGAAACAUUCUUCUAAGUAUUCUUUCAUUCGUCAUUCAUAAUCAUAUCACGCAAAUAAAUGUUUCGAAUUCUUUUGAUUCUUUGUAUCUGCCUUCGUCCUUAUAACAGGUUCCCAAAUAUUAAUGAUACGAGUGACACUGCUAGCGACUCAGAAUUUCCUUUCGAGCAAGAUGUAUGUAUGGAUGAUUCUUAGGAUUUUGAAGAUGACCAAGGCUGUAACCUAUCUCUUGAUUUGUUGAAGAUGGAGGAACAAGACGAGAAAUAAAUCCUACCUCACAAAGAAUUAAUCGAAAUUGUGAGCUUAGGAGAAGGACAAGAGGUAAAGAUCGGAAUAAGUAUCACUGCGAAAAUGAAGCGAGACCUCAUUGAAUUACUUUAAGAAUUCAAAGGUGUCUUCGCAUGGUCAUACCAAGAUAUGCCCGGGUUGGACACUGACAUCGUGGUGCAUCGACUUCCCAUAAAAGAAUAGUGUAAGCCAGUUUAGCAAAAACUCCGAAGAAUGAGGCCCGAUGUCUUGCUAAAAAUAAAGGAAGAGGUUCGAAAGCAGUUUGACGUUGGAUUUCUGAAGGUGGUAAAAUACUCAGAUUGGGUAGCCAACAUCAUCCCUGUCCCUAAGAAAGAUGGAAAAGUGCUAAUGUGUGUAGACUACAGAGAUUUGAAUAAAGCCAGCCCAAAAGACAAUUUCCCACUGCCUCAUAUCGACACCCUAGUGGACAACAUGGCGGGACAUUCACUGUUUUCAUUCAUGGAUGAUUUUUUGGGAUACAACCAGAUCAAGAUGCAUCCUGAAGAUAUGAAGAAGACCAUAUUUGUAACCAUGUAGGGCACGUUCUGUUACAAGGUGAUGCCGUUUGGAUUGAAGAAUGCGGGGACAACUUAUCAAAGAGCUAUGGUAACCUUUUUUCACGACAUGAUGCAUAAAGAAAUCGAGGUUUAUGUCGAUGACAUGAUCGUAAAGUCUCGAACAGAGAAGGAGCACAUACAAGUCUUGAGGAAAUUGUUCUUGAGGUUGAGGAAGUUCCAGCUAAAACUCAACCCAGCCAAAUGUACCUUCGGAGCUAAAUCCGGAAAGUUGCUCGGAUUCGUGGUUAGUGAGAAAGGGAUUGAGAUCGAUCUAGACAAAGUUAAAGCCAUACAAGAGUUAUCCUCGCCGCGCACUAAAAAAGAAGUUCGAGGCUUUCUAGGAAGAUUAAAUUACAUUGCUCGGUUCAUUUCACAACUGACCGAGAAAUGUGGCCCUGUCUUUCGCCUCCUCAAGAAACAUAACCCAGGUGAAUGGGAUGAAGAAUGCCAAAGGGCUUUCGACAAGGUUAAACAGUACUUAUCCAACGCCCCGGUGCUGAUGCCACCUAACCCCGAUAAGCCGUUGAUACUGUAUUUGGCAGUAUUCGAGAACUCUAUGAGAUGCAUGCUGGCUCAGCAUGAUGAGUCAGGAAGGAAAGAAAAAGCUAUUUACUAUCUCAGUAAAAAGUUUACGGAAUGUGAGACAAUGUACCCGUCGAUAGAGAAGUUGUGUUGUGCCCUAAUAUGGACAACCCGCAGGCUGAGGCAAUAUAUGUUGUAUCACACCACUUGGCUCAUAUCAAAGUUGGACCCUUUAAAGUACAUGAUGGAGUCAACAACCUUAAAUGGAAGGAUGGCCCGAUGACAGAUUCUGCUUUCUAAAUUCAACAUAGUCUAUGUGAACCAAAAAGUAAUAAAAGGAAGUGCGAUAGCAGAUUUUCUAGCCAGUAGAGCUUUGGAAGACUACGAGCCUUUGAACUUCGACUUUCCGAAUGAAGACCUAAUGUGUAUUGCUACGACUGAAGAAGGUGCUCUGGAAGAACUUCUUUGGAAACUGAACUUCGAUGGGGCAUCAAAUGCUGUGGGCAAUGGAAUCGGGGCCGUCUUGGUAUCCCCAAAACGAGAUCAUUACCCAUUCACUAGUAAAUUGGAUUUUGAUUGUACAAAAAAUAUGGUGGAAUAUGAAGCGUGCAUCAUGGGUAUCCGUGCAGCCAUAGAACGUAAGAUUAAAGUGCGAGAGGUGUAUGGAGAUUCUGCGCUAGUGAUUUAUCAACUCAAGGGAGAAUGGGAGACUAGAGACCUCAAGUUAAUCGAUUAUCGGAAGCUGGUCCUUGAGUUGAUUAAAGAGUUUGAUGACAUUACCUUCCACUACCUUCCACGAGACAAAAAUCAGAUGGCUGACGCUUUGGCUACCUUAGCCUCCAUGAUCAAGGUGAACAAACAAGAAGAUGUCAAACCCAUCCGAAUGAACAUUUAUGAAAUUCCGGCCCAUUCUUACAAUAUUGAAAAAGAUGAAGAGAAAGAUGAUCACCCUUGGUAUCACGAUAUAUUGCAAUAUGUGAAGAAUCGUGAGUACCCGGACCAGGCAAGCGAGAAUGAAAAAAGAACGCUAAGAAGAUUGGCCAUCGACUACGUCUUAGAUGGGGAUAUAUUAUACAAAAGAAGAAAGGAUCAAGUGCUACUAAGAUGUGUAGACGCUGUAGAGGCUAGGAAAAUCUUGGAAGAAGUCCAUGAAGGCGUCUGUGGGACACAUGCUAAUGGCUUUACAAUGGCCAGGCAAAUUAUGAGAUUCGGGUACUAUUGGUCCACCAUGGAAGGAGACUGUGUCAAUUACGCUAAGAGAUGUCAUAAGUGUCAAAUCUACGGAGACAAAAUUCUUGUGCCUCCUUCACCGUUGCAUGUCAUGGUUUCUUCAUGGCCAUUCUCUAUGUGGGGCAUGGAUGUGAUUAGACCAAUAUCGCCGAAAGCUACCAAUGGGCAUCGAUUCAUCUUCGUGGUUAUCGACUACUUCACCAAGUGGGUAGAAACUGCUUCGUAUGCUAGUGUGACCAAGUCGGCAGUGAGCAAGUUUCUGAAAAAGGAUAUUAUAUGUCGAUAUGGAAUGCCGGAGAGGAUUAUAUCCGACAAUGCAUUAAACUUGAACAAUAGUACGAUAGCAGAAGUCUGCAGUCAAUUCAAGAACAGACAUCACAACUCGUCACCAUAUCGCCCAAAGAUGAAUGGGGCAGUGGAAGCGGCCAAUACAAACAUUAAGAAAAUUGUGGGGAAGAUGACCAAAACCUACAGAGACUGGCAUGAGAAGUUACCAUUUGCCCUCUUCGCUUAUCGAACGUCAGUCAAAACCUCAACUGGGGCAGCCCCUUUUUCUUUGGUCUACGGAAUGGAAGCGGUGUUGCCGAUCGAGGUCGAGAUCCCGUCCCUUCGAGUGUUGUUGGAGUUAAAUUUGGAAGAAGCCGAGUGGAUCCAAUCUCGAUAUGAUCAAUUGAACCUAACGAGGAAAAAAGGUUAAAAGCUAUUCGUCAUGGUCAGAUGUACCAAAAAUGAAUGAUGCAGGCUUAUGAUAAAAAGGUUCGUCCUAGAGAAUUCCACGAGGGAGACCUGGUUUUGAAAAAGAUUCUUCCCAUACAGAAAUAUUUUCGGGGAAAAUGGAUGCCUAAUUGGGAAGGGCCUUACGUAGUGAAGAAAGCUUUCACUGGAGUAGCAUUGAUUCUAGCCGAGAUGGACGAUAGAAACUUGCCCAAUCCUGUAAACUCGGACUCGGUCAAGAAGUAUUUUACCUGAAGAAAGAGAGGCCUGAGUGAAAACCCACAAAGGGUGCUCUGAAAUCCAAAAAAAAACCCGGAGAGGCCAAGGUGAAAACCCACAAAGGGUAUUUUGGAACCAAAGGGGCUUUUGAGUUGAAAACCCAAAAACGGGCAGCUCAAAUUUUGAAUAUGGGGCAUAUGGCGGUCUUGUCCUUCCAAAAUCAACAAGACAGAAGAACAUUACACCUUGGAGCAUCAACAAAAUACGCGGGAUCUCCUGAACACACAUUUGGUUCGAAUGAACCUUUGAGAAAUUAGAAUAGUGAAACUCGUGCUGCGAUAUCUGGGGCAUCUUUUUCUCAUUUUUCGCACCUUACCAGAUUCAUUAUCCUAUGUAUUCACAUCAAAAUUUGCUUAAUAAAAUGACAUUUGUCCAUUAUGAUAAUCUCUUUCGAGCAGUUUUGUCGAAAUCGCGAUUUUUGAACAUGUAAUAUCUACAUAAAAGAUGUUAUGCAUAUUACUCUGGAAAAGUCUCUAAAUAGUACAAGGACCUGAAACAGGGCCACUAGUCAGAACUAACCAGGUUCAAAGUUGGAAAAUAUUGGAAAAAGAGAAAUCCAAAUUAGGACUAUUUCUUCAAAUUUUCUGGCAGAGAUAACGGCUAAGUAAGAAAACGUGAUAGCACAUCAAUGAUGGAACCCGGACGAAUCAUGAGCAAUGAUACCUUAAACGUUUGAAGAGGAAUUAUUCUCAUAGCACUUCUACAUUCAUAAUCAUUCAUUUAGUUAGGAGCACUUGAUUCAUUUCGAUCAUAGCAUUCUAAUUAUCUGACAUAAACACCACAUCUAGUUAGGGACAUUUGAUUCAUCUCGAUCAUAGUAUCCUAAUUACUUGAUACAGGAAACCAAUUCUACAAAUCAUGUCUUUGGAAGACAGUGUAGUGACAUUGGCGAAUCCUACAGAUCCUGCUUCCCUGAAGUUGCAGUGGAGCAGAUCGAAGACGACAAAUCUUGACUUCCUGAAGUUGCAGUGAAGUAGAUUUAAGUCACUAACCUAGCUCCCUAAAGUUGUAGUGGAGUAGGUUGAGAUUUUAGAUCCUACUUCCCUGAAGUUACAGUGGAGCAGAUCAAAAACGACGAAUCCUGACUUCCUGAAGUUGCAGUGAAGCAGAUUUAAGUCACUAACCUUGUUCCCUAAAGUUGUAGUGGAGUAGGUUAAAAUUUUAGAUCUCGUUUCCCUGAAGUUGCAGUGGAGUAAAUCAAAGACAACGAAUCUUGACUUCCUGAAGUUGCAGCAAAGCAGAUUUAAGUCACUAACCUAGCUCCCUAAAGUUGUAGUGGAGUAGGUUGAAAUUUUCGAUCUCGUUUCCCUGAAGUUGCAGUGGAGCAGAUCGAAGACGGCGAAUCUGAGCUUCUUGAAGUUGCAGUGAAGCAGAUUUAAGCCACUAACCUAGCUCCCUAGAGUUGUAGUAGAGUAGGUUGAAAUUUUAGAUCUCGUUUCCCUGAAGUUGCAGUGGAGCAGAUCGAAGACGGCGAAUCUGAGCUUCCUGAAGUUGCAGUGAAGUAGAUUUAAGCCACCAACCCAGCUCCCUAAAGUUGUAGUGGAGUAGGUUGAAAUUUUAGAUUUUGUUUCCCUGAAGUUGCAGUGAAACAGAUCGAAGACGGUGAAUCUUGACUUCUUGAAAUUGCAAUGAAGUAGAUUUAAGCCACCAUCCUAGCUCCCUAAAGUUGUAGCGGAGUAGGUUGAAGAUUGUAGAUCUUGUCUCCCUGAAGUUGCAGUGGAGCAUAUUGAAGCUACUUGAAGAAAAAAAGUACCAAGAAGUCGAGGCUCAGCAGGUCCUGGCAAAUUUGGCCCAUUUAUAGUCUUUACUUUAUUCUCGUUACACGACAAUAUGCAAAGAAGGGCAGCUGUAGUGGGCCAAAUUUGCCCGGUCCGAAUAAAAAUAAUAAAUGAUAUAAAAAUCUAGAUAUCAAUAGUCCAUUAUCUGUCCAAUUACAACCCAAAAUCAAACCAAAUUAACCCUAAUGUUUCAAGACACAAAUUACAAGUCCAUUUACAAAAUGACAUAGCCCAAUACCCCAAACGGCCCAGAAACUGAGCCCCAUUUUGGCAAACCCUAGGGCAAGGGUCUCCUUGUGCCGCAGCCCUCACUAGUGGCCAAACCACAUUGCGCCAGACAACGCCUCCAACAGCACCAGUGCACAGCCCUCGUACGCCACGCCCGUACCUCCGUACGAUGCAGGCAGACUCCGUACCUGCGAAAAAGGCACAUAGAACAGCAGCGAAUGGGGAAGAAGAAAAUAGCAUUUUCAUUUUUUGAUUUUUCUUUCUUUUCGACUAUAAAGGCCAUGUAAUAGCCUAGGUGAGUUUUUUACGCAACAUAAACGCACAAUAGGCCAUACAGACACAAUCAAUACAUUUUGAAAUACAAAAAAGCAACGAGCAUUCGAAGGUGAUUCCGAUUCAUAAUUUCUGAGAUUUUUUCCUUUUCUUCUUGGCUUAGUUUCAUUCUCCCUGGAAUUUCUUUUUAUUCUUUCGCAUUUUGGGUUGUAUAAAAGAGAGAGGAAAUGAAAUCUUACCCCGUGAAUACGCUGUG